rnacentral:rRNA from 1 species
UGCCAGCAGCCGCGGUAAUACGGAGGGGGUUAGCGUUGUUCGGAUUUACUGGGCGUAAAGCGCGCGUAGGCGGCCGUUUAAGUCAGAUGUGAAAGCCCCGGGCUUAACCUGGGAACUGCAUUCGAUACUGCAGAACUAGAGUAUGGUAGAGGGAAGUGGAAUUCCGAGUGUAGGGGUGAAAUCCGUAGAUAUUCGGAGGAACACCAGUGGCGAAGGCGGCUUUCUGGACCGAUACUGACGCUGAGACGCGAAAGCGUGGGGAGCAAACAGGAUUAGAUA